GAUGAACGCUGACAGAAUGCUUAACACAUGCGAGUCAUUGGCGAAGCUGCGCUUGCGCAGUCUAGCCAAGGCGGACGGGUGAGUAACGCGUAAGGAACUUGCCCUGCAGACAGGGAUAACAGACGGAAACGACUGAUAACACCUGGUAUUGUCAGGCUGGCGCAUGCCGGCCUGAUGAAAGGAGACGCUGCAGGAGAGCCUUGCGUCCUAUUAGCUAGUUGGUGGGGUAACGGCCCACCAAGGCGAUGAUAGGUAGCCGGCCUGAGAGGGUGAACGGCCACAAGGGACUGAGAUACGGCCCUUACUCCUACGGGAGGCAGCAGUGGGGAAUAUUGGACAAUGGGGGCAACCCUGAUCCAGCAAUUCUGUGUGCACGAAGAAGGUUUUCGGAUUGUAAAGUGCUUUCAGCAGGGAAGAAGAAAGUGACGGUACCUGCAGAAGAAGCGACGGCUAAAUACGUG
rnacentral:rRNA from 1 species